GACGAACGCUGGCGGCGUGCUUAACACAUGCAAGUCGAACGGAAAGGCCCUGCUUGCAGGGUACUCGAGUGGCGAACGGGCGAGUAACACGUGGGUGAUCUGCCCUGCACUUCGGGAUAAGCCUGGGAAACUGGGUCUAAUACCGGAUAGGAGCCAUUAUUAGUGUGAUGGAUGGAAAGUUUUUUCGGGGUAGGAUGAGUUGGCGGCCUAUCAGCUUGUUGGUGGGGUAAUGGCCUACCAAGGCGGCGACGGGUAGCCGGCCUGUGGGGGUGGACGGCCAUCUUGGCUCUUAGGGACGGCCCAGGCUCCGACUGUAGGCAGAAGUGGGGAAGAUUGCUCCAGGCGCGCAGGCCUGAUGCAGCAGCGCCGCGGGUGGUAUAGCGCUCUUGUGGUGGAAGACACCUUGCGGUAGGAUCGAAGCUUUUUGUGACGGUACCUAAAGAAGAAGCACCGGCUAACUUCGUG
rnacentral:rRNA from 1 species